GAAGGCUUUCAGAAUUUAAAAGAAACAGAGUUUACCAACUCAACCCUCUCUGAAACAGAAUAAAGAACCUUUCCUCUUAUCUGGGUUCAGAACUGGCAAGCAACCUUGGUGUGGGCACUUCAUAAAUAUUCAUGGAUAAUGCAAAUGCGAAGAUGCAAAGAGACCGUUUUGCCAUUUCCAGAAUCCUUCUGAAGUGCCUGUGAUUGAAGCAGGAUCUCCACUAUACUUUGCAGAUCUUGCACAAGAAAAAGCCCAGUUUGGCUGGUCACAUGGAAAGAAACAGAACAAGAGCAGUGGAUUAAUCUGUCCUGGAGUCUUGGGUGGUGACUGUACUUACAGGGAGCAGAGCAAACUGAAGUAGUGGUCCGUUGCCCCACAGCUGCCCAGACCUCUGUGGCAGACAGACAAAUGAGGCCACGGGGCCUGGCACAGUCACGACUUGGCCUUCCUGUGCGGUGGAGGAAGAGGACAGGAAACUGGGACAAAGGCCAACGAUGAGUGCAGGCACACGCAUAUGCAUAGCUGAGUGAUGUGAUCACUCCAUUUGGAAAUCCAACCGACAGGAAGAUCAGAGGCACCCACCUCACAUGCCGAGGGACUCCCUUCAGGCCCAAAGCAGAAAAGGACCCAGACGUGUCUUGGGUCAGGGUUUCUCCCCACCACCAGGCAGACUGUUCUCAUUCUGCGUUUUCAGAGUCCAGGGUGCUAACCAUUACACAGUGGCACCUCCUUCUUCCUUCUCAAUCAGCAGGCCCAGGGUGGUCCAACUCCAAGAAUGUCCGGGCCGACCAGAAUGUCCUGGGAGAAGGGGCGCGGUGUGGAGCCAGAUUACCUGGGUGCGGGCUGUUCCCCUCUCUCCAGCAUGUGACCUCUGGAACUGAAAGCUGCUCAUCUGGAAAGAGGGACAGUUGCUGUGGCAGCAGCCUGUGAGAGCGUGUGCCUCGGAAGCAGGAGGCCUCUCCUAGAGCAGUGACUGGUCACUUGUCAUGAACUUAAAUAAGCAGGAACUCUAAUUUCUCUCCAGGCCAAAACCUUGGGGGAUUUGUAAAGGUCUUAAAGGCUGAAGAGCAGUUAAGUGCUUUUGGUUUCUCACCUGUUCCUCCAUCCUGUCCCCAUCCUCUUGGGGGAAAUACGGGGCCCUUUGGGGGAAGCCUUUGCAAGUGACACCAUCAGGCCUCAGCCAGGCUCCCUGCAGGUCAGAGGAGCAGCCCGGGCGGGGGAGGGCGGCUGAGGGCGGCUGGGAGCACUUCCCACCUGGGUCCAGGCUGCAUUAUACACUUCUCCUUUUGUGGGCCACUUCCUCAGUUAAAAUAUAUAAAUUUAAAAUUAUAUUUAAAAAUAAAAUUAUAUUUUAUGACUGCAUUGGUA